rnacentral:misc_RNA from 1 species
GAAAUAACCUAGUAAGGACUGCUGGACAUGCAAUUUACCAAAAAAAGAAAGAAAAAAAAAACCACAUCUUUUACUGCUGGACAGAGGACUACACACCCUGGCCAUUUGGCGGGGACCUGGUACACGCCCUAUUCUGUGUAUUCUGUGUCCAAGUGCUGCCCCUGCUGGAACAUACCAAAAUGCCCUGCAUCAUGCUUGCCCACUUGUAAAAAACUCGUCCUUGAGUUGCAACGAACCAACAUAGCUCACGUAUCAUUCUCCC